rnacentral:rRNA from 1 species
CCCAGACUCCUACGGGAGGCAGCAGUGGGGAAUAUUGCACAAUGGGGGAAACCCUGAUGCAGCGACGCCGCGUGAGUGAAGAAGUAUUUCGGUAUGUAAAGCUCUAUCAGCAGGGAAGAAAAUGACGGUACCUGACUAAGAAGCCCCGGCUAACUACGUGCCAGCAGCCGCGGUAAUACGUAGGGGGCAAGCGUUAUCCGGAUUUACUGGGUGUAAAGGGAGCGUAGACGGCAUGGCAAGUCAGAUGUGAAAGCCCGGGGCUCAACCCCGGGACUGCAUUUGAAACUGUCAGGCUGGAGUGCAGGAGAGGUAAGUGGAAUUCCUAGUGUAGCGGUGAAAUGCGUAGAUAUUAGGAAGAACACCAGUGGCGAGGGCGGCUUGCUGGACAGUAACUGACGUUGAGGCUCGAAAGCGUGGGGAGCAAACAGGAUUAGAUACCCCAGUAGA